AUAUUUUUCGCACAUUUUUACACUCUAUCUUACCCGCCUCUUACCUUUAAUUGUAGUUUCCGCAUGAUGCGCGUCUCUUCCCAGCGAUCCAGCUCAUCCCAUUCUUUGCCCCGCUUGCGCAGUAAAUAGUAACGAUACAUAACAAUUGUAACCGCUAGCAAUAAAGCCAGACCAGUACCAGUGGCAGCGCCUAGAACCGCCGAACUCACCAUAAUCAUAGGAGAUUUUUUUUUUCUGAGCGCAAAAUCCUGAGGGUUGACCUUAAAGACACACUUCGAAUGCAACGAUUUACUGUAGACUUAUUUUUAUUUUAUGUAUCGCUGCCUAAAAGUUUCGUUGUUGUUAACUGCAAAGAAAUAUAAUAAAAGAAGAAUAAGAAGUUCAACAA